GAAAUGCGAUAAGUAAUGUGAAUUGCAGAAUUCCGUGAAUCAUCGAAUCUUUGAACGCACAUUGCGCCCUCUGGUAUUCCGGGGGGCAUGCCUGUCCAAGCGUCAUUGCGAACCCCUCAAGCACGGCUUGUGUGAUGGGCCCUCCCGCGUCUUGGUCGUCAAGACGGGCCCGAAAUGCAGUGGCGGCUUCGCGGUUAUCCGAUCAGCCAGAGCGCAUGGGGACUUUCUCUCUGUCACACGCCCGCGGCGCGGACCGACGCCUGUCGACCUUCAUUCAUCGUUUUCUCGGUUGACCUCGGAUCAGGUAGGGAUACCCGCUGAACUUAAGC
rnacentral:misc_RNA from 1 species